UACGUAGGGGGCAAGCGUUGUCCGGAUUUAUUGGGCGUAAAGAGCGUGUAGGCGGCCAUGUAGGUCCGUUGUGAAAACUCGAGGCUCAACCUCGAGACGCCGAUGGAAACCAUGUGGCUAGAGUCCGGAAGAGGAGAGUGGAAUUCCUGGUGUAGCGGUGAAAUGCGCAGAUAUCAGGAGGAACACCCGUGGCUAAGGCGGCUCUCUAGUACGGUACUGACGCUGAGACGCGGAAGCGUGGGGAGCGAACAGG
rnacentral:rRNA from 1 species